rnacentral:rRNA from 1 species
CCGCGAACGGGUGAGUAACACGUGGGUAACCUGCCCCGAUGAUUGGGACAACCCGAGGAAACUCGGGCUAAUACCAAAUGUGCUUUCGAGUCGUAAGGCUCGUUAGGAAAGGUAGCUUCGGCUUCCGCAUCGGGAUGGGCCCGCGGCCCAUUAGCUUGUUGGUGGGGUAACGGCCUACCAAGGCUUCGAUGGGUAGCUGGUCUGAGAGGACGAUCAGCCACACUGGGACUGAGACACGGCCCAG